rnacentral:rRNA from 1 species
UAAUGUAUGGGAGUCUGCCCGAUAGAGGGGGAUAACUACUGGAAACGGUGGCUAAUACCGCAUAAUGUCUACGGACCAAAGCAGGGGCUCUUCGGACCUUGCACUAUCGAUGAACCCAUAUGGGAUUAGCUAGUAGGUGGGGUAAAGGCUCACCUAGGCGACGAUCUCUAGCUGGUCUGAGAGGAUGAUCAGCCACACUGGGACUGAGACACGGCCCAG